ACAGCUAUACAUGCAGUCGACGAACUCUGGUAUUGAUUGGUGCUUGCAUCAUGAUUUACAUUUGAGUGAGUGGCGAACUGGUGAGUAACACGUGGGAAACCUGCCCAGAAGCGGGGGAUAACACCUGGAAACAGAUGCUAAUACCGCAUAACAACUUGGACCGCAUGGUCCGAGUUUGAAAGAUGGCUUCGGCUAUCACUUUUGGAUGGUCCCGCGGCGUAUUAGCUAGAUGGUGGGGUAACGGCUCACCAUGGCAAUGAUACGUAGCCGACCUGAGAGGGUAAUCGGCCACAUUGGGACUGAGACACGGCCCAAACUCCUACGGGAGGCAGCAGUAGGGAAUCUUCCACAAUGGACGAAAGUCUGAUGGAGCAACGCCGCGUGAGUGAAGAAGGGUUUCGGCUCGUAAAACUCUGUUGUUAAAGAAGAACAUAUCUGAGAGUAACUGUUCAGGUAUUGACGGUAUUUAACCAGAAAGCCACGGCUAACUACGUGCCAGCAGCCGCGGUAAUACGUAGGUGGCAAGCGUUGUCCGGAUUUAUUGGGCGUAAAGCGAGCGCAGGCGGUUUUUUAAGUCUGAUGUGAAAGCCUUCGGCUCAACCGAAGAAGUGCAUCGGAAACUGGGAAACUUGAGUGCAGAAGAGGACAGUGGAACUCCAUGUGUAGCGGUGAAAUGCGUAGAUAUAUGGAAGAACACCAGUGGCGAAGGCGGCUGUCUGGUCUGUAACUGACGCUGAGGCUCGAAAGUAUGGGUAGCAAACAGGAUUAGAUACCCUGGUAGUCCAUACCGUAAACGAUGAAUGCUAAGUGUUGGAGGGUUUCCGCCCUUCAGUGCUGCAGCUAACGCAUUAAGCAUUCCGCCUGGGGAGUACGGCCGCAAGGCUGAAACUCAAAGGAAUUGACGGGGGCCCGCACAAGCGGUGGAGCAUGUGGUUUAAUUCGAAGCUACGCGAAGAACCUUACCAGGUCUUGACAUACUAUGCAAAUCUAAGAGAUUAGACGUUCCCUUCGGGGACAUGGAUACAGGUGGUGCAUGGUUGUCGUCAGCUCGUGUCGUGAGAUGUUGGGUUAAGUCCCGCAACGAGCGCAACCCUUAUUAUCAGUUGCCAGCAUUAAGUUGGGCACUCUGGUGAGACUGCCGGUGACAAACCGGAGGAAGGUGGGGAUGACGUCAAAUCAUCAUGCCCCUUAUGACCUGGGCUACACACGUGCUACAAUGGAUGGUACAACGAGUUGCGAACUCGCGAGAGUAAGCUAAUCUCUUAAAGCCAUUCUCAGUUCGGAUUGUAGGCUGCAACUCGCCUACAUGAAGUCGGAAUCGCUAGUAAUCGCGGAUCAGCAUGCCGCGGUGAAUACGUUCCCGGGCCUUGUACACACCGCCCGUCACACCAUGAGAGUUUGUAACACCCAAAGUCGGUGGGGUAACCUUUUAGGAACCAGCCGCCUAAGGUGGAAGU
rnacentral:rRNA from 1 species